CUUCAGAGUGGUCUUCUCUCCAAU
rnacentral:siRNA from 1 species